GAUGAACGCUGGCGGCGUGCCUAAUACAUGCAAGUCGAACGAAACUUCUCUAUCACCGAGUGCUUGCACUCACCGAUAAAGAGUUGAGUGGCGAACGGGUGAGUAACACGUGGGCAACCUGCCCAAAAGAGGGGGAUAACACUUGGAAACAGGUGCUAAUACCGCAUAACCAUAGUUACCGCAUGGUAACUAUGUAAAAGGUGGCUAUACUACCGCUUUUGGAUGGGCCCGCGGCGCAUUAGCUAGUUGGUAGGGUAAAGGCUUACCAAGGCAAUGAUGCGUAGCCGAAUUGAGAGGUUGAUCGGCCACAUUGGGACUGAGACACGGCCCAAACUCCUACGGGAGGCAGCAGUAGGGAAUCUUCCACAAUGGGCGAAAGCCUGAUGGAGCAACGCCGCGUGGGUGAAGAAGGUCUUCGGAUCGUAAAACCCUGUUGUUAGAGAAGAAAGUGCGUGAGAGUAACUGUUCACGUUUCGACGGUAUCUAACCAGAAAGCCACGGCUAACUACGUG
rnacentral:rRNA from 1 species